rnacentral:tRNA from 1 species
GGCAACAUGGCCGAGUGGUAAGGCAGACGAGUGAAAAUAUAUUUUUCCCCAGUUCAAAUCUGGGUGUCGCCU